rnacentral:piRNA from 1 species
UCCUGAGUCACAUCGCUCCUCCAUAGACAU